rnacentral:rRNA from 1 species
AACGAACGCUGGCGGCGUGGAUUAGGCAUGCAAGUCGAGCGAUAUCUUACCUUCGGGUAAGUGAAAGCGGCGAACGGGUGAGUAACACGUGAAUAACCUGCCCUCACAUUCCGGAUAAUAGACCGAAAGGUCUUGUAAUACGGGCGAGGAUUUCUCUUAGGCAUCUUAGAGAAAGGGAAGGCGCAAGCCGUGCGAGGAGG